rnacentral:rRNA from 1 species
AGUGAACGCUGGCGGCGUGCCUAAUACAUGCAAGUCGAACGAUGAAGCUUCUAGCUUGCUAGAGUGCUGAUUAGUGGCGCACGGGUGAGUAACGCAUAGGUCAUGUGCCUCUUAGUUUGGGAUAGCCAUUGGAAACGAUGAUUAAUACCAGAUACUCCCUACGGGGAAAGAUUUAUCGCUAAGAGAUCAGCCUAUGUCCUAUCAGCUUGUUGGUAAGGUAAUGGCUUACCAAGGCUAUGACGGGUAUCCGGCCUGAGAGGGUGAACGGACACACUGGAACUGAGACACGGUCCAGACUCCUACGGGAGGCAGCAGUAGGGAAUAUUGCUCAAUGGGGGAAACCCUGAAGCAGCAACGCCGCGUGGAGGAUGAAGGUUUUAGGAUUGUAAACUCCUUUUGUUAGAGAAGAUAAUGACGGUAUCUAACGAAUAAGCACCGGCUAACUCCGUGCCAGCAGCCGCGGUAAUACGGAGGGUGCAAGCGUUACUCGGAAUCACUGGGCGUAAAGAGCGCGUAGGCGGGAUAGUCAGUCAGGUGUGAAAUCCUAUGGCUUAACCAUAGAACUGCAUUUGAAACUACUAUUCUAGAGUGUGGGAGAGGUAGGUGGAAUUCUUGGUGUAGGGGUAAAAUCCGUAGAGAUCAAGAGGAAUACUCAUUGCGAAGGCGACCUGCUGGAACAUUACUGACGCUGAUUGCGCGAAAGCGUGGGGAGCAAACAGGAUUAGAUACCCUGGUAGUCCACGCCCUAAACGAUGGAUGCUAGUUGUUGGAGGGCUUAGUCUCUCCAGUAAUGCAGCUAACGCAUUAAGCAUCCCGCCUGGGGAGUACGGUCGCAAGAUUAAAACUCAAAGGAAUAGACGGGGACCCGCACAAGCGGUGGAGCAUGUGGUUUAAUUCGAAGAUACACGAAGAACCUUACCUAGGCUUGACAUUGAGAGAAUCCGCUAGAAAUAGUGGAGUGUCUAGCUUGCUAGACCUUGAAAACAGGUGCUGCACGGCUGUCGUCAGCUCGUGUCGUGAGAUGUUGGGUUAAGUCCCGCAACGAGCGCAACCCCCUUUCUUAGUUGCUAACAGGUUAUGCUGAGAACUCUAAGGAUACUGCCUCCGUAAGGAGGAGGAAGGUGGGGACGACGUCAAGUCAUCAUGGCCCUUACGCCUAGGGCUACACACGUGCUACAAUGGGGUGCACAAAGAGAAGCAAUACUGUGAAGUGGAGCCAAUCUUCAAAACACCUCUCAGUUCGGAUUGUAGGCUGCAACUCGCCUGCAUGAAGCUGGAAUCGCUAGUAAUCGCAAAUCAGCCAUGUUGCGGUGAAUACGUUCCCGGGUCUUGUACUCACCGCCCGUCACACCAUGGGAGUUGUGUUUGCCUUAAGUCAGGAUGCUAAAUUGGCUACUGCCCACGGCACACACAGCGACUGGGGUGAAGUCGUAACAAGGUAACCGUAG